AAAUUGUUAACAAAGGAAACGACCAGAAAGCUACAAAAGAGCAACGAACUGCCGUUGCGAAUUAACGAACUGAAUACAUUUUCGGGUGCAAUUUUUACCAGCAAAAUUCUUAUACUUCUACUAAUGUAUUUACAAAAACACUAUAACAAUGCAUUUUCCCUCCACAACUGGAAUACACAAAGACAGUCUCCGCGCCAAGAAACAGCUGCCUUUUAAAAAGAAACCGCCCUGAAUAGGUACUACUUUUUCUGCCUGAGCGGAGGAAUAUUCCUACUCGUUGUUCUGCCAAAGUAUAAAUAGAAGGCUGCAAACAUGGAAAUUUCACAGUUGUUGGCGAAUAGUCGUGCAGUGCGGAUCGUUUUGUUAAAGUGAAAAAAAGUAAAAGGAGAUACAUACAUACAUACAUACAUAUAUUCCAGUGUGACGCAGCAGUGUAGCAGAUCUGAGCUGAAUCAUCAAUGUCCAAGGCCAACACUAAUGUGAAGUCAUCGAAGCAUCGUACAAAUAUCUACUUCCACAAUGUGAAAAACCGAGAGAGUUGACACCAUUUACUUACUGGUAGGCAAAACUAGCAAGCCUGGGCUGGGCAUGCCCCUGUUCUGGGAGCCUGGUGUGGUGGUGGUGGUGCUGCGCACGCACGACUGAUGUGUGGAAGAUUAGCUCAGAUGUUGCUUAAUCGUGUGUAUAACAGUUUCCAAUGCAAUGCAUUGCCUGUGGUGGUGUAGAAACGAGAUGGCAAUAGCAGCUUUACUUUUUCGCUUUCGAGUUGAUGUAGAAAGUACGCAAGCGUGAUGAGUACACGUGAAGUACCUGAAAAUUCGUUUUUUGGCGAUUUAACGUAUGACGUAAAUCCAUCCAGUCUAUGGUAAUGUGAAAGUUAUGAUCCAACAACAGAGUGAGUGAGCUAAAACAGAGGGAACAUAGAAAUUCUACACAAAUUGCUGUGGUUGGUGCUAAUGUACUUCGGAGCUAUCCGGAAUGUGAAUGUGGCGAAGGCGGUAUGAGCUACCUCGAUGUACUACAGUUGCAGUUAGUCUGGUCAGUUCAGUACGUGCACCCCCAUAUCUAAAGUGAAGGUGACAUUCUGCGAGAAUUUGUAGCAAAGCGUAUAGCAGCUGGGACAUCAGUUGUAAGCCAUACUCGUCCAUUAACCACGACAGUCAGCAUACACAGUGUUAAGAAUGAAUAUGAAAGAAAUGAACAAGUGGAGCGUGGCGGGGACAAUAUUAGCCAACUACCAUCUAUAUCUGAUUGCGAAUGGUAUACACAAAUAUUUGCGUAGAAAAAUCUUUCGAUUUCAGCAAUACGAAACAGUUGAACGUGCCUGUUCGUAUUUCCUUAACAAACAACACAAGCAACGUCCAAAAGGGGAGUGUUUUUCAUAUGUGAUGAGGCGAGUCUGCUCCUACCAUAAGAGAAGUCUGAAAUUUGCCCCUAUUUAGAGAUGACUGGUCGGUCGUCAGAUACAGAGGUCGAUUUUUGUUGUGCAAGCGUGCCGUAAGCCCAAUGGAUUUUCUCUGCAAAACUUACCAUUAUUUACAGAGUGUGGCUGAAAUAGUUGCUUGGGCCUUGAAAUAUCACUGAUAAAAGACUUCUAGCGCUGACUAAAGAGAUGGCCUGUUUCUCCAUUUUUCGUAUUUUUUUUUUUUUCGUUCUUCGUUUCUUUCCUCUCUGUUUAAAAUUUUGUUACAGCGAUACGACGCAGUUGAACGGUUCCUGUGUGUAUCGAGUCGGUCAUUCAUAUUCAUCAUACAAAUCUCUGCAAACACAACUUCCUAACCGUUGCGUAUAUUAAAGUUUCUGGCAUAAACAAGCUGGGUAUUGAGGAGAGCGUUGAGGUCUGUUAAGAGAAGCCAACCCAAAUUAUCGUAGACUUCUAACACUGCACGGGCAGAUGGAUUUGAGUAUUUAAAAACUACAAAUCAAAUAGUUUAUACUCAUUUCGAGAAAAAUGAGCCAUCUAGAAACUUUUCUUUUUUUGGUUUUUACAGCGAUACACCACAGUAAUUUAUGCUUGUGCGUAUCCUGGCGGUUAAGACAGAGCUGUUGGCAGUUAGAGCCUUCAUGCCUUCACCCAUUAGAAACUUCGAAGUGGUGAGGUUAGGUACAACAUAUCUUGCACUAAUUUAUACCAUUACAGCAUCAAGAAAGGGAAUCCAAAACAUGACCAACCAUAAAUUAUAGGCCACCAGCAAUGGGUACUCAUCGAACGACCGACAUACCAGCGGGUAUUUCAACGGACUUAACUAUUUUAAAGUGAUUUUCUUUUAGCGAUGUGACACAGUUGAACGUGCCUGUGUGCAUCUGGGGUCCUCUGAGCACAGCGAAAGAUUUAAUAGAACUGCACCAAUUUAUAUCAUCAGAUUGUAAAGCGUUGAGAGCAACACGACAUUGUUCCGAUCUUUUUCGCUUGUAAGCACUAUUGCAAAUUUUCACUUCACUAAUCCAUGAUUUGUAGGAAAUAAUGCAAUACAGUUGAACGUACCUGAGUUUGCAUAGGAUAUCAUCAAUACAGCAAUAAUAUAUAUGCUUUAUUUGGCAAGAAAUUUAAGCUAUUAGCCUAGUGUGUAAGGACGAUUUAGCCAAUAUUUUUAUGCUGGCUAAGACUUCCGUGCUCACUAAGCUAAUAGCUUCAAUUUCUGCUCAAAUAAUACGCGCCUAAUGUUAAAAUCUGGGCCUAACGAAAACACUGACAGCAACACGACAUUGUUCAGAACUUUUUCGCUCGUAAGCACUAUUGCAAAUUUUCUCUUCACUAAUCCAUGAUUUAUAGGAAACAAUGCAAUACAGUUGAACGUACCUGAGUUUGCAUAGGAUAUCAUCAAUACAGCUAAAAUCUUAAAAUCUGACGUAAUGAUCAUGGCCACAACAAAACAUAGAGAGCAACAACCAUAUUGUUUCGAUCAUAUGCGAUUGUAAGAACAAAUACGAUUUUCUUUUCACUAAUGAUAAUUUGUAGGAAAAGAUGCGACACAGUUGAACGUGCCUGCGUGCAUCUACAUAGAAACAUCGUACGACCUGAGAAGCUUUUCACUGAGAAAAUUUCACUUCCCCGUAACACCAUAUUGAGCGCAAGCAACACAAAUUGUUUAAAUCUUAACGACCGUAAGACGGAUUCAAAUUUUCUCUUAACUAAUGCAUACUUUGUAGGAAGUGUAUUCCAUCCACGUUGUAUAUUCACUGAUUCAGCAACACGACCUACAAACUUAAGUACACCAGUGAGAAAACGUCGUAGAGAGGGCAUCCUAAUGUUUAAAAGUGGCAAAGGCAAUCGUGUAACACAGUUGACCGUACCUGAGUAUGCAUAGGAAAUCAUCAGUACAGCAAUAAUAGUAAAAUCUAACGUAAUGAUCAUGGACAACACGAAAAUAUUGGGCGCAACACGACAUUGUUCCGAUCUUGUUUGCUCGUAAGGACAAUUGCAAAUUUUCUCUUCACUAAUCCAUGAUUUGUAGGAAACAAUGCAACACAGUUGAACGUACCUGAGUUUGCAUAGGAAAUCAUCAAUACAGCAGUAACCUUAAAGGCUAAGCUAAUAUAUGGGCAUCACAAAACAUUGAGAGCAACAUCACACUGUUUCGAUCAUAUACGAUUGUAAGAAAAAAAUGCGAUUUUCUUUUGACUAAUGCAUAAUUUGUAGGAAAAGAUGCGACGCAGUUGAACGUGCCUGCGUGCAUCUACAUAUGUAUGUAGAUACAACGUAAGACCUGCCAAGAUUUGAGAAUUGUGUUUCCCGUAGCACCAAUAUACCUACCUUAUUGAGAGCACACAAACUGUUUGAACCUUAUCGAUCGUAAGGCGUAUGGUAAUUUUCUCUUAACUAAUUCAUAAUUUGUAGAAAGUGUCUAUUCCAUCGGCGUUGUAUUCACUGAUUCAACAACAAGGCUGCAAUCUAAAGUAUACCAUUGACAAAAAACAAAAAAAAAAACGUCGAAGAGAGGGCAUCCUUAUGUUUAAAAAUGGCAAAAGGGAAUCGUGCCAAAUUACUAGAUGAUUGCUGUUUUCAUCGGAGAUAGGUAGAUUUUAAUAUCUGCAGUAAUAUUAUUUUCCAGUUCCUAGCGCAGAAGAGUUGAAACACCAGGCCAUGCAUGUCUAGGCGUAUUUGGCUCGAUUGGGGGAAACACAAGCAGAAAGUCUUACGCUCCUAAGUACCUACCAAUCAUCUACUUAUAUCAAAUGUUUAUUUUUGAGUUGUGAACCACACACACA